AGGCUUCGUGGUCGUAAAGCUCUGUUGUUAGGGAAGAACAAGUACCGGAGUAACUGCCGGUACCUUGACGGUACCUAACCAGAAAGCCACGGCUAACUACGUGCCAGCAGCCGCGGUAAUACGUAGGUGGCAAGCGUUGUCCGGAAUUAUUGGGCGUAAAGCGCGCGCAGGCGGUUCUUUAAGUCUGAUGUGAAAGCCCACGGCUCAACCGUGGAGGGUCAUUGGAAACUGGGGGACUUGAGUACAGAAGAGGAAAGCUGAAUUCCACGCGUAGCGGUGAAAUGCGUCCAGAUGUGAAGGAACUCCAGUGGCGAAGGUGAUUUUCUGGUCUGUAACUGACGCUGAGGCGCGAAAGCGUGCGGAGCGAACAGGAUUAGAUACCCUGGUACGCCACGCCGGAAACGAUGACUGCUAAGUGUUAGAGCGUUUCCGCCCUUUACUGCUGCAUCUAACGCAUUACGUACUCCGCCUGAUCAGUACGGUCGCAAGGCUGAAAAUCGAAGGAAAUUG
rnacentral:rRNA from 1 species